AGAUUGAACGCUGGCGGCAGGCCUAACACAUGCAAGUCGAGCGGUAGAGAGGUGGCUUGCACCUCUUGAGAGCGGCGGACGGGUGAGUAAUGCCUAGGAAUCUGCCUAGUGGUGGGGGAUAACGUUCGGAAACGGACGCUAAUACCGCAUACGUCCUACGGGAGAAAGCGGGGGACCUUCGGGCCUCGUCGCCGAUUAGAUGAGCCUAGGUCGGAUUAGCUAGUUGGUGAGGUAAUGGCUCACCAAGGCGACGAUCCGUAACUGGUCUGAGAGGAUGAUCAGUCACACUGGAACUGAGACACGGUCCAGACUCCUACGGGAGGCAGCAGUGGGAAUAGUUGGACAAUGGGCGAAAGCCUGGAUCCGAGCCAUGCCGCGUGUGUGAAGAAGGUCUUACGGAUUGAAAGCACUUUAAGUGGAGGAAGGUUGUAACUUAAUACGUU
rnacentral:rRNA from 1 species